rnacentral:rRNA from 5 species
GGGUUGUGAGGUUAAGCGACUAAGCGUACACGGUGGAUGCCCUGGCAGUCAGAGGCGAUGAAGGGCGUGCUAAUCUGCGAUAAGCGCCGGUAAGGUGAUAUGAACCGUUAUAACCGGCGAUACCCGAAUGGGGAAACCCAGUGUGAUUCGUCACACUAUCAUUAACUGAAUCCAUAGGUUAAUGAGGCGAACCGGG